GUAAAUACUUUCUAGGGUUCCGCCUUAUUGGGUCUGGUCCGAGAGAAAGUGCAAAGAAUUUUUUCUUUGUCCACGGAGGGAUAAAAGCCCGGGAGAU
rnacentral:sRNA from 20 species